AUCUCAGGAGCCUAGAUCUCAUUACCCAUUCAGUCUUAGGGAUUGCUUUCAUUCAGCACGGCAAAGAAGCUUUGAGCAGCCCUACAAUUGCCUCGCCUCUUUCUCUCCUUUUUAUUUGUGAUAGCAGCACUAAGGCUUAUUUGUUUUCUUGGUGUGCGCGCCUUCUUGAAAAGAGCUGUCUCUUCUCAUAGUCCUACUUUGAAUGCCACAUCCUUCCUGUGUCCAAGAAGAGGCGUCCGUGGGGCCUAUGUGAUUGUGAGGUCCUUCUGAUCCUACACACCUCCUUGGGAAGGCAAUUCAUGUCGACUUACAUUGCUGGAGGAGUUCCUCGACAUCUUUUCAAGGAACCAUGUGCUGAAAAGGAUCUCCAGAAAUGCUCAAAGGCCAAUACUCGGCUCCCAGACUCCAAGUGGAAAAGUCAGUAGCUGAUGGAAAGUGUGCCUCAUAAUCAGACAAGCCAAAUGCUUUCUUUAUUGAAGUUGCCAAAUGAUUUUGACAUAAAAUCAGACAGAGUGGCAUAAAUGUGUUGUUUUUAGUAUCCUGGAAUUGCUUAAACAAGGCAAGUAUUCUUAUCUGUCCCCACACAAAGUGAAACACUGUUUACAUGGGGGUAAUUUCUAAUUUAAAAAGGAGGGAGGGACAGAAAUAAGUGAUUCUUCCACCACUACCAUUACCAUCUACCCGUUGUGAGUUUCCAACCCAAAUUGAAGUUGAUUUGAAACAAAAGUGAAACCGCAGGAAGAGGAACAAUUGUAUAGCUUUACCGUUACAUAAAUCAACUAUUUGGGGAGAUGGAGGGGUGCAGACAUGUACAUAUUUCUAUAGUGACACAAGAGGACAUGAAACUAGCCUCUGUUGCUGAGUCUUGAACAAUUUGGAGCCAGAAGGAUGUGAUGAUAAAAUGAUGGAGCACAACUGUGGUUGACCUGCAC